rnacentral:rRNA from 1 species
GACGAACGCUGGCGGCGUGCCUAAUACAUGCAAGUAGAACGCACAGUUUAUACCUUUGCUUGCUACACCAUAAACUGUGAGUUGCGUACGGGUUAGUUACGCUUAGCUAACCUUCCUGGUAGCGUGGGAUAACUAUUGGUAACGAUAGCUAAUACCGCAUAAUAUUUAUUAUUGCAUGAUAAUUUUUUGAAAUAUGCUAUUGCAUCACUACCAGUUGGACCUGCGUUGUAUUAGUUAGUAGGUGAGGUAACGGCUCACCUAGGCGAGGAUACAUAGCCGACCGGAGAGGGUGGUCAGCCACACUGGGAGUGAGACCGGGCACAGACGCCUACGGGAGGCAGCAGUAGGGAAACGUCGGCAAUGGGCGGAAGUCUGACCGAGCAACGCCGAGUGAGUGAAGAAGGAUGUCGGAUCGUAAAGCUCUGUUGUAAGAGAAGAACGGGUGUGAGAGUGGAAAGUUCACACUGUGACGGCAUCUUACCAGAAAGGGACGGCUAACUACGUG